GAUGAAGAACGUAGCGAAAUGCGAUAAGUAAUGUGAAUUGCAGAAUUCAGUGAAUCAUCGAAUCUUUGAACGCACAUUGCGCCCUCUGGUAUUCCGGGGGGCAUGUCUGUUCGAGCGUCAUUACAACCCUCAAGCUUUGCUUGGUAUUGGACAUUGCCAGUUUCUGGCAGGUCUUAAAAUCAGUGGCGGUGCCAUUUGGCUUCAAGCGUAGUAAUUCUUCUCGCUUUGGAGAUCCAAGUGGUUACUUGCCAAUAACCCCCAAUUUUUUCAGGUUGACCUCGGAUCAGGUAGGGAUACCCGCUGAACUUAAGCAUAUCAAUAAGCGGAGGA
rnacentral:misc_RNA from 1 species